rnacentral:rRNA from 1 species
ACUCCUACGGGAGGCAGCAGUAGGGAAUCUUCGGCAAUGGACGGAAGUCUGACCGAGCAACGCCGCGUGAGUGAAGAAGGUUUUCGGAUCGUAAAGCUCUGUUGUAAGAGAAGAACGAGUGUGAGAGUGGAAAGUUCACACUGUGACGGUAUCUUACCAGAAAGGGACGGCUAACUACGUGCCAGCAGCCGCGGUAAUACGUAGGUCCCGAGCGUUGUCCGGAUUUAUUGGGCGUAAAGCGAGCGCAGGCGGUUAGAUAAGUCUGAAGUUAAAGGCUGUGGCUUAACCAUAGUACGCUUUGGAAACUAUUUAACUUGAGUGCAAGGGGGGAGAGUGGAAUUCCAUGUGUAGCGGUGAAAUGCGUAGAUAUAUGGAGGAACACCGGUGGCGAAAGCGGCUCUCUGGCUUGUAACUGACGCUGAGGCUCGAAAGCGUGGGGAGCAAACAGG